AGUUGAUCAUGGCUCAGGACGAACGCUGGCGGCGUGCCUUAUACAUGCAAGUCGAACGAACUCUGGUAUUGAUUGGUGCUUGCAUCAUGAUUUACAUUUGAGUGAGUGGCGAACUGGUGAGUUACACGUGGGAAACCUGCCCAGAAGCGGGGGAUAACACCUGGAAACAGAUGCUAAUACCGCAUAACAACUUGGACCGCAUGGUCCGAGUUUGAAAGAUGGCUUCGGCUAUCACUUUUGGAUGGUCCCGCGGCGUAUUAGCUAGAUGGUGGGGUAACGGCUCACCAUGGCAAUGAUACGUAGCCGACCUGAGAGGGUAAUCGGCCACAUUGGGACUGAGACACGGCCCAAACUCCUACGGGAGGCAGCAGUAGGGAAUCUUCCACAAUGGACGAAAGUCUGAUGGAGCAACGCCGCGUGAGUGAAGAAGGGUUUCGGCUCGUAAAACUCUGUUGUUAAAGAAGAACAUAUCUGAGAGUAACUGUUCAGGUAUUGACGGUAUUUAACCAGAAAGCCACGGCUAACUACGUGCCAGCAGCCGCGGUAAUACGUAGGUGGCAAGCGUUGUCCGGAUUUAUUGGGCGUAAAGCGAGCGCAGGCGGUUUUUUAAGUCUGAUGUGAAAGCCUUCGGCUCAACCGAAGAAGUGCAUCGGAAACUGGGAAACUUGAGUGCAGAAGAGGACAGUGGAACUCCAUGUGUAGCGGUGAAAUGCGUAGAUAUAUGGAAGAACACCAGUGGCGAAGGCGAAGACUGUCUGGUCUGUAACUGACGCUGAGGCUCGAAAGUAUGGGUAGCAAACAGGAUUAGAUACCCUGGUAGUCCAUACCGUAAACGAUGAAUGCUAAGUGUUGGAGGGUUUCCGCCCUUCAGUGCUGCAGCUAACGCAUUAAGCAUUCCGCCUGGGGAGUACGGCCGCAAGGCUGAAACUCAAAGGAAUUGACGGGGGCCCGCACAAGCGGUGGAGCAUGUGGUUUAAUUCGAAGCUACGCGAAGAACCUUACCAGGUCUUGACAUACUAUGCAAAUCUAAGAGAUUAGACGUUCCCUUCGGGGACAUGGAUACAGGUGGUGCAUGGUUGUCGUCAGCUCGUGUCGUGAGAUGUUGGGUUAAGUCCCGCAACGAGCGCAACCCUUAUUAUCAGUUGCCAGCAUUAAGUUGGGCACUCUGGUGAGACUGCCGGUGACAAACCGGAGGAAGGUGGGGAUGACGUCAAAUCAUCAUGCCCCUUAUGACCUGGGCUACACACGUGCUACAAUGGAUGGUACAACGAGUUGCGAACUCGCGAGAGUAAGCUAAUCUCUUAAAGCCAUUCUCAGUUCGGAUUGUAGGCUGCAACUCGCCUACAUGAAGUCGGAAUCGCUAGUAAUCGCGGAUCAGCAUGCCGCGGUGAAUACGUUCCCGGGCCUUGUACACACCGCCCGUCACACCAUGAGAGUUUGUAACACCCAAGAGUCGGUGGGGUAACCUAUUUAGGCAACCAGCCGCCUAAGGUG
rnacentral:rRNA from 1 species